UACGUAGGAGGCAAGCGUUAUCCGGAAUGACUGGGCGUAAAGGGUGCGUAGGUGGUUUGGCAAGUUGGUAGCGUAAUCCCGGGGCUCAACCUCGGUGCUACUACCAAAACUGUCGGACUUGAGUGCAGGAGGGGUGAAUGGAAUUCCCAGUGUAGCGGUGGAAUGCGUAGAUAUUGGGAAGAACACCAGCGGCGAAGGCGAUUCACUGGACUGUAACUGACACUGAGGCACGAAAGCGUGGGGAGCAA
rnacentral:rRNA from 1 species